rnacentral:lncRNA from 1 species
GGUUGCCAGCAUGGCACCUGUGGAUCAGAUGGUGCUCUUGAGGUCUCCCUCUAGUUCUCAUAAGACCUUGGAGUCCUUUCCCCAUGUCUUUGUCAUGACAUGAAAUGGUGAGAGUGGUUAUCUUCUCUUCUGGAAAGAACGAAGAGUGGAAGAAGGAAGAGUGACCCUCUUUCCCAUUUAUUCUUUCAUCUCUGCAUUUCAGUGCUCAGAUUCGUUCUACUGGAUCCAACUUUUAUCCGGAUGGUUUUGAAAAGCAAAGAACGUAUGGGUGUCUUCCCUGUCUUUGAUGGGGCGGCCGAUCUGAGAAGAUGGAAAUGAAGUGGCCUGAGGGUAGCACUUGCUCAAAAAUCCAAAUGUAUUGACAGGCCUAAAAAAGUUUGGCAACACCUGCCUGAUUCUUGCCUCCCAUUUGCAAGGAGUGAGGAAAUGCCGAAUAGAAUGGUGGCUCAUGCAUUUCUUGCUAGACACUACAGGAAAGAAAUAUGUGGCAGACAAGAAUCAGCAGCAGCUACACAAUGCCUGUAAUGUUUAGUUAGGACAUAAGUUUCUUAAGUUCUCAGCUGUCUCAGGUCCUGCUCCAAGAAAAAAAGGGGGGGUCUGGCACCAAAUGGGAUGAGGACUGGUUAAACUACUUCAGCAAAGAGCCUAUCCCCAUCUUCCCAUAAUGAUAUUAAGCCUGAACUACUUGCAAAGGAAAAAAUGUCUUCUGGGACAGGCACUUGAACAGGGUUAUUAAGUAGUCCUUGAAAGCAAGAGCAUUACAGAAUUGUAGAUUCCUGCGCUGCUUGGUGAUUAGUGCAGACGUCCCACUGGAUUUCCUGCAUCCACAGCCAAUUCUGCUUCCCUUUGGUUCUUUGAUUUCAGCAUUUCAAUCUAUCUUACUUGUCUAAUGUUCAUAGCAUCUGGUGACUAGAACAGAGUUACCGGGGCCGGGGUGUGAGAUUUCGCACUGAAUAUUCUUCCUUGUGUUCUGCAAGAGUUUUUACAAAGCAACUCACAUUUGUGGGAAGAGUAACUCAUGAUUUGGUUCAUAUUGGGGAGAGUCAGGAGGUAGAGCUUGUGGAUUUCAUUAAGGGACUCCUGCAUUUCCCCCCCAGCCCCACAACACUUGGAGCACUGAAUGCGAUGUUUAGUUAUAUUUCAAGAUGGGAGUGGUUUCUGCAAAUGCUAAACUUCUGCCAUUCAAGCCACCCACCUACAUUGUCUUACAAAACAGUGAACUGCACAAUCUCAGAUCUUAGCAGAUCAGUUUCACUGAAUUUCACUGGAUUUCUAGAGCUAUCUAAUGUCUGUAGCAUUAGCAGUUGUUUUCCAGAGACAUUUUACGUUUAAAUCAUCCCUUCAUUAUAAUCUGCACUUCAUUUGCCGAUGGGAGUGAUUGUGGGUUCCACAGUGCUGCAUUAUGAAUCAUUUCCUGCCUCCUCUAACCUUUUAACAAUCUUCUCCCCUUUCUCAUCCAAAUGUUCUCCUUAUAUAUAUAUUUCUAGGUAAUAUAAUACAGCUUGACUAAUAUUCACAAAUGUGUAAAUACAUAUUCCUAGUCUAUCAUAAUAAGUGUGUUCCCAGAAUUUUCCAUUGGCAAUCUACGAUUUCAGGUUUAUGUGUUUUUGAUUAGUUUCAGCUAAUUUUCCUUAAUUUUUUUGCUGGCACACUGCUACUUUAAUGGCAUUUUCGAAUUUUUAUUAAUGCUUGCCACAAGUCGUACUAUUUCCAGAUGUCCAGAUGCCAUUGGAGUAAAAGAAACAAAAAGGCCAGCAAUGCUACGUUUAGAGCAGCAAAAGAACACAUGUCUGAUGCUGUGAUGACCAAAACUUCCAUUUUCUUUACAAUGACCCAUUGUUCUUCCUUCUGCUUCUUACGUAUGUCCAUGUUUCAGGUUUGCUGCAAUACUGCAAAGUAUGCAGAGCAGCUAAAUACUUCUGUAGGAAAAAGAGGCAGUGCACUUAAAUAUAUAUUGUUAAACACCUACAGGUGGCAUGGGUGUUAAGUCUCAUUGAUUUCAAUGAAAUUAGCCUCAAUGUCACACACUAUGUUUUGGAAUGAUAACAAACUGAUCUGACUCGUUAGCAAAACCCAUGAUGCACAUUUUCUCCAAAUGGACUUUUGAAUUUUGCAAGUGUGAAUAUGAGGAAGAGCCACAUGUUACCAAUUUGCACAUUUGCCUCACUUCAGAGGCUUAAUGACUCCCCAAUGCUGCAAAAAUGCGAUCCAGCCCUUAGGUUGAUUUCAUAAGCUUAUAAAACAUUUGAAUGCGAUUUAAAAAUAAAUUAAUGAAUACAACUUUAAACAGCAUGCAGCACGGAAUGGAGUUAUUAUCACCACCCCAUAUUCUAUUCCUGAAAACAUGAAGGAUGAAAUUUAGAACUUUUAGGCCCCACAACAAGUAGACAUGCAGUUCCCCCCCUUAACUUUCUGUCUUGUAGCCAAUCCAAGUAUCUGAUCCUCCGAAAGAUGUGGGCAUGUAAUAAAAUCUUUGUACACUGCAACAUUCAUGUUUAAACAUUAAUGUGAUGCAGGCAAAUUGCACACCAUGUUAAGAUUGUGGCUGAAGUAAAUGCCAUCUUUUAACAAACUAAAUAAAACAGAUAAACUACACACAGUCGUUUUGUUUGUUGACAUCAAACACUGAAAUCAUCUUCUAACCCAAAUGACAUUACUUUAAUUCAAUACAGAAGAAAUGAGCAUAAGGAGCUUUGGUUUUAAUCCUGUUAAAUGCUAACUUUACCGUUUUUCUUGCCAGCGAACACCCUGUCUGAUUGAUGACCCUGAUAACUUUCCUAGGGACCAGGUUUUUGAGAAUAAUAGGUACAAUUCUAUCACAUGCUCCUGCUGAAGUUUCAACUAGGGGUAGGUGCAAAAUUGAGACAACAGUAAGUUGGCAGGAAAUGAGUGGUUUUCAGAGGAAAAGUUUGGGAGCAAAGAAGAGGGGCAGGCCAAUGAACAGAUUACAUCUGGAGCAGGCAACAAGCAACAUCAAUCAUGGGUGAAUUAAAGAGGGUUGUUUGGAAAUUUUCACCAAAGCCACCAUAACUCGGGAGAGGUCAGUGUGUGAGAAAACUGUUAGCCAUUUGGAGAAAGUAGGUCAAAAUGAAUCUAUCUAGCCAACGUAAACUAUUGUAAUGUAGCUAGGACUGUCUUAGUUCAAUCUAAAGGCCCAAACGUUAGUCUCCAGCUGUUACAUCUGGAUCCCAAAACUAGUAUUUCAAUUUUAACAGAGACCUUGUGCUGCAGAUAUAUGGUUUUCAAUAAACAGCUCCUAAAGCUAUUGGUCUAGGCUUCAGGCUUCUGAAUGAAAAACUCACUUCAGUGCUGAAGUAUACUCCGGGUUAUGUAUGGAUUUUACUUCUAACUCAAACCCUGGGACUUGCCCUUUGUAAACAAGGUACUCUCUGCUUAAAUAAUUUUCCCGUUUACUUUUUAUUUUUUUGCAAGUCUACUGGCCUUCUGUUUAGUGCAUUGCCUCUCAGCACAGCAAGAGGUCUGUUUGUGUGGGUGAAAUAAGAGAUUUGUCCGGACAGCCAGAGUUCACUUUCUGCUGAAGAUGGGAACAUUAUAGGUUCAUAAAUUGUUUCCUACAUAUUGAAUUGGUCUAGCCAUAGACUGCCUUUCUAGAUGGUUUUUAAAUUUUUGUCAAUAAUUCUUUCCCUUUUGCUUCCACCCCAGACCCAUUGUGAGACCAGACCACAGCCUGCCUCCAUCAAGCUGAGGGAGGGACGGGACAAUUUAUUUGUCAUGCUCAUAAACAGGAGUCUGCAAUUCAGAUGGAGGACAUUGCUGACUAGUCAUCUAGAGCCAUUUCCGGACAGACCUUGUGUCUGUGAGAAAGCAACGUGGCUUUAUUUGUUUAAAAUAUGUUAAACGUGGUAUCUGGGCUGAAUGCAAUAAUGAAAUUUAAAACUACAGCAAUACAAUAAUAAAUACGAAGAGAUUAAAAACACAGUCCAACAAUCACAGCACAAGCAUUCAAAACAUGUAAUAAAGGUCUCUUCCAGGUGACCUUUAUUAUUUAUUGACCAUUCUGCACAAAGCCUAUACGGAGGUUAGGUUGUAUUUGGUCUUUGUUGAACAUUUAUUCUGAAUUGUUUGUGGGGAGGUUAUAUGGCAAUGAAUGUUUGUCAUGAUUUGCUUGUAGAGUGUUAAUAGGUCUUCCAAUUAGUCAUAUGGGACCGCUUCUCCUGGUAUGUCACAUGGAGGACCUUAUGGUCUUCAAACAAAAAUAUCUUGGACGUCCCGGGCCACAGGGAGGUUAGGCUGG